rnacentral:rRNA from 1 species
AACGAACGCUGGCGGCAGGCUUAACACAUGCAAGUCGAGCGGAGACUUCGGCGUUAGCGGCGGACGGGUGAGUAACGCGUGGCAAUAUGCUAUUCUCUACGGAAUAGUCCUGGGAAAUUGGGGGUAAUACCGUAAACGCUCUCUGGGGCAAAGUAUUAUCGGGGAAGGAUUAGCCCGCGUUGGAUUAGGUAGUUGGUGGGGUAGUGGUCUACCAAGCGGACGAUACCUAGCUGGUUGGGGAGGAUGAUCAGACACACUGGGACUGGGACGCGGCCCAGACUCCUACGGGAGGCAGCAGUGGGGAAUCUUGGACAGUGGGGGCAACCCUGAUCGAGCCAUGCCGCGUGAGUGAUGAAGGCCUUAGGGUUGUAAAGCUCUUUCAGCUGGGAGGGUGAUGACGGUACCAGCAGAAGAAGCCCCGGCUAACUCCGUG